rnacentral:rRNA from 1 species
GACGAACGCUGGCGGCGUGCUUAACACAUGCAAGUCGAACGGAAAGGCCCUUCGGGGUACUCGAGUGGCGAACGGGUGAGUAACACGUGGGUGAUCUGCCCUGCACUUUGGGAUAAGCCUGGGAAACUGGGUCUAAUACCGGAUAGGACCACGGCAUUCAUGUGCUGUGGUGGAAAGCUUUUGCGGUGUGGGAUGGGCCCGCGGCCUAUCAGCUCGUUGGUGGGGUAAUGGCCUACCAAGGCGACGACGGGUAGCCGGCCUGAGAGGGUGACCGGCCACACUGGGACUGAGAUACGGCCCAGACUCCUACGGGAGGCAGCAGUGGGGAAUAUUGCACAAUGGGCGCAAGCCUGAUGCAGCGACGCCGCGUGAGGGAUGACGGCCUUCGGGUUGUAAACCUCUUUCGCCAGGGACGAAGCGCAAGUGACGGUACCUGGAGAAGAAGGACCGGCCAACUACGUG